UUUUUUCUUUUUUUUUCUUUUCUUCAUUUUUUUUUAUAAUAUAAAUUUUUUUUCUUUAUCUCUCUUUUCUAUUUUUGUCCUAUGGUAUUAAUAUGGCUAUACUCUAAUAUACCAAAUCCAUUUUCUCUUUUUCUCCAUCCAUUAAUCCACCUACCUGUCUCUAUAUUUUCUUUUUUUUUUUUUUUCUUUUUAUUAUUUUUUCUUUCAACAAUAAUUCUGACUAUUUUAUUUCUUUUAUUUUUCUUCUUUUUCUUUUUCUUUUUUUUUUCAUCCCUUUCUAUUCUUACAUAUGUGCAGUUGCAGUAAAAUAUCUUUUUUCUCUAUCCCUCUUUUCUCUUUUUGUCCUAUGGUAUUAACAUGACUAUACUCUAAUAUACUAAAUUUGUUUUCUCUCUUUCUCUAUCCAUUAAUCUACCUACCUCUACUAUUGUACU